GCCUCCACAGCCAGAUCUCGACAAGACCCGCCGGCUUCGGCCCCGUCUCCAAUUUUUCAGGCUCCUCCCCCUUCGGCAACGACAGUCGGUAUAGAGCAGUUCGACCUGCUAGUUCAGCAGGUCAGGGGCCUCACCAAAGCGGUGCAGGCAAUGCAGCAGUAGCAGCAGCCGCAGGCAUCUGUGCGACUGAAAAGAGCAUCGUCAGAGUUUCGAAAGUCGAUGAUCGGACGGCCCACUUGGGCCAAUCAUCCCUGUAUCCCUCGAAAAGGAGAAGUAGAGGGCGGAGAGCCCUCUGUCUGAUCACAAUUCUGCCCCC
rnacentral:lncRNA from 1 species